UGAAGAGUUUGAUCAUGGCUCAGAUUGAACGCUGGCGGCAGGCCUAACACAUGCAAGUCGAACGGUAACAGGAAGCAGCUUGCUGCUUUGCUGACGAGUGGCGGACGGGUGAGUAAUGUCUGGGAAACUGCCUGAUGGAGGGGGAUAACUACUGGAAACGGUGGCUAAUACCGCAUAACGUCGCAAGACCAAAGAGGGGGACCUUCGGGCCUCUUGCCAUCAGAUGUGCCCAGAUGGGAUUAGCUUGUUGGUGAGGUAACGGCUCACCAAGGCGACGAUCCCUAGCUGGUCUGAGAGGAUGACCAGCCACACUGGAACUGAGACACGGUCCAGACUCCUACGGGAGGCAGCAGUGGGGAAUAUUGCACAAUGGGCGCAAGCCUGAUGCAGCCAUGCCGCGUGUAUGAAGAAGGCCUUCGGGUUGUAAAGUACUUUCAGCGGGGAGGAAGGUGUUGUGGUUAAUAACCGCAGCAAUUGACGUUACCCGCAGAAGAAGCACCGGCUAACUCCGUGCCAGCAGCCGCGGUAAUACGGAGGGUGCAAGCGUUAAUCGGAAUUACUGGGCGUAAAGCGCACGCAGGCGGUCUGUCAAGUCGGAUGUGAAAUCCCCGGGCUCAACCUGGGAACUGCAUUCGAAACUGGCAGGCUUGAGUCUUGUAGAGGGGGGUAGAAUUCCAGGUGUAGCGGUGAAAUGCGUAGAGAUCUGGAGGAAUACCGGUGGCGAAGGCGGCCCCCUGGACAAAGACUGACGCUCAGGUGCGAAAGCGUGGGGAGCAAACAGGAUUAGAUACCCUGGUAGUCCACGCCGUAAACGAUGUCUACUUGGAGGUUGUGCCCUUGAGGCGUGGCUUCCGGAGCUAACGCGUUAAGUAGACCGCCUGGGGAGUACGGCCGCAAGGUUAAAACUCAAAUGAAUUGACGGGGGCCCGCACAAGCGGUGGAGCAUGUGGUUUAAUUCGAUGCAACGCGAAGAACCUUACCUGGUCUUGACAUCCACAGAACUUUCCAGAGAUGGAUUGGUGCCUUCGGGAACUGUGAGACAGGUGCUGCAUGGCUGUCGUCAGCUCGUGUUGUGAAAUGUUGGGUUAAGUCCCGCAACGAGCGCAACCCUUAUCCUUUGUUGCCAGCGGUCCGGCCGGG
rnacentral:rRNA from 1 species